UACGUAGGAGACGAGCGUUGUCCGGAGUUACUGGGCGUAAAGCGUGCGCAGGCGGUGAUGUAAGACAGUUGUGAAAUCCCCGGGCUCAACCUGGGAACUGCAUCUGUGACUGCAUCGCUGGAGUGCGGCAGAGGGGGAUGGAAUUCCGCGUGUAGCAGUGAAAUGCGUAGAUAUGCGGAGGAACACCGAUGGCGAAGGCAAUCCCCUGGGCCUGCACUGACGCUCAUGCACGAAAGCGUGGGGAGCAAACAGG
rnacentral:rRNA from 1 species